GGAAAGUGCUCUGAGAGCCACGGGCACCAGGCCCUGCUGGCCACAGACCCAGCAGGCUCCCCUCCUCCUACAGCGGCUCUUCCAGCCUCUUGAACGAGGGGCUGCAUUACCUGGUCUCUUCCGGAAGCUCCUCGAUGAAACCAGACUCGCAUCUUGGGCAGAUAUAAUCCUGCAGGAGAGAACAGGAGGCUCGGUCACAAUGACGCCCGGCACCACCUCAAGGUCACCUGCAAAAUCCCCUCAAGGGUGAGGACAGAGGGGCUCUUGACCCAGUGGUCUCUGGCUGGCCAGACACUCGCAGGCAGGGGCCACUCCCAAUCCGUGGGUCCUGGUGGGCAGGGCCUUCAACAAGGCCGAGGAAACCUGGCUGUGCUGGCCACCAACUGAGUCUGCUAUGGCUCCCAGUGAUCUAGGCUCCCCCCAACCUGCCCCCACCAUGACAGACAUCACCAGGGCCUUGGCACCUCCGUGCACAGGAGGCACUGCCUGGACGCCAGAGUGGCAUUUCCAGAACGCUCUGACAGCCCCACACCGCCCAUUCCCCUGGCUGGGGGGAGGCCAUGCCCAUGCUGGCCACACCCGUGCAAGACCCCAUCCCCAGGUCCCCCUAGAGCCAAGGCCAACAUGUUGAUGUCCCAGAGAAGCUGCCAAAGGACAGCUGUGUGUGAGCCCCAAACCCAAGUUCACAGCUCCCCAGCACUGGCCUCAAGCCACAGCCUCGCCAAGCAGGCCACACACGGUUUGGAUGCUGUACCCUGCAGACCUCGCCCUGGGCUGGAAGGGCUGCUGGAGGCGCCAGCUUGCGGGCAGGCCCCUCGUGGAUGGCUUGGCCCUUGCUGAUAGGGGACCACCAAGCAUUCGUAGGACUUGGGCUGAAAAGUGUGUGGCGCCUCCAGCCUAGCAGGAUCCAGGCAGAUGCCAGCGCCACGCUUCCUAUGUGGCCCGCAGAACUGGAAGCCACAUCAACCUCUCUCUGUAAAUGACCCGGUCUCAAGUGUUCCUUACAGCAAUGUGAAAACGGCCUUAAAGAGCACGUAUCAUGUCAGGGACUCGCACCAGGGUCCCAGGUCAUCUCCAGGUAAGAAACACAGACAGAAACAGGGAGAGGAGGCUCCCAUGGUGUAUGGGGCACUGCUGUGGGGGGAGCCAAGGCGAACCUCAGGCUCUAUGGAUGCAGGUUCCACGGGGAACCCCAAGCUAUGGGGAUGCAGGUUUCCCAGGGGACUCUACGCUCUGAGAUGCAGGUUCCACGGGGAACCCCAGGCUAUGGGGAUGCAAGUUCCAUGGGGACCCCAGGCUCUGAGAUGCAGGUUCCAUGAGGUCCCCAGGCUCUGAGAUGCAGGUUCCACGAGGACCCCAGGGUCUGAAGAUGCAGUUUCCAUGGGGAACCCCAGGCUAUGGGGAUGCAGGUUUUGUGGGGGACCCCAGGGUCUGAAGAUGCAGGUUCCAUGGGGAACCCCAGGCUCUGGGGAUGCAGGUUUCACAGGGGACCCUAGGCUCUGAGAUGCAGGUUCCACAGGGAACCCCAGGCUAUGGGGAUGCAGGUUCUGUGGGGGACCCCAGGCUCCAGGGAUGCAGGUUACACAGGGGACCCCAGGCUCCGGGGAUGCAGGUUCCGUGGGGGACCCCAGGCUCCAGGGAUGCAGGUUACACAGGGGACCCCAGGCUCCGGGAAUGCAGGUUACACAGGGGACCCCAGGCUCCGGGGAUGCAGGUUACACAGGGGACCCCAGGCUCCGGGGAUGCAGGUUCCUUGGAGGACCCCAGGCUCCGGGGAUGCAGGUUACACAGGGGACCCCAGGCUCCGGGGAUGCAGGUUCCGUGGGGGACCCCAGGCUCUGGGGACACAAGUUUCUUGGUGGCUGGAACUUGGCCAGCUGUGGUCCCCUCUCCAGCAGGCAAGAUCCCAGCCCCACUCGCUGACUCUGGGGCAAAACAGGGGCCUGGAGGGCAGUGCCCACAGGCAGAGCCAAUAGCUGGGUCCUGCAGCCCACACUGCGCCAUGCCCGCCUCACUGUUCCUGCUGCUGAAGCACAGGCUGGGCGGUUAGAAGGGGCUGAGGCCAGGUGAGCAAAGGACCCCAGGAGCACGCGAACCCAGCAUGAGGGGAGAAGAGUGGAGGGUGACGAGACAUUAUCUACAACAAAUAGAAAGUGCUGGCUGGGUGUGACGUCUCACACCUGUGAGAGGCCGAGGUGGGUGGAUCACCUGAGGUCAAGAGUUCAAGACCAGCCUCGCCAACAUAGUGAAAGCCUGUCUCCACUGAAAAUACAAAAAUUAGCUGGGCGUGGUGGCGCUCACCUGUACUCCCAGCCACUCAGGAGGCUGAGGCGGGAGAAUCGCUAAAAUCCGGGAGGCAGAGGUUGCAGUGAGCCGAGAUUGAGCUACUGCACUCCAGCCUAGGAGACAGAAAGAGACUCUGUCUCAAGGACAAACAAACAAAAAAGACACCCUGGCUGGGUGCAGCGGCGCACCCGUGACCCCAGCACUUUGGGAAGCUGAGGUGGGGAGAUCAUCUGAGGUCAGGAGCUUCAGAUUAGCCCAGCCAAUAUGGCCAAACCCCAUUUCUACAAAAAAUACAUUAGCUGGAUGUGCUGGCGUGUCCCUGUAGUUCCAGCUACUAGGGAGGGGGAGGCAGGAGGAUCGCCUGAGUCCAGGAAGUCGAGGCAGCAGUGAGCUGGGGUCCCACCACUGCACUAUAGCCUGGGUGACAGAGCAAGACCCUGCCUCUAAAAAGAAAGAAAGAAAAAGAGCAACAGACAACCCAACUCAAAGCAGGCGAAGGACCCGUAAGGGGCACGCCUCCAAAAGCAUGCACUGGAAAGCAGCCCCCACCACGAGUCCCGUGGAGCCGGCCAGCAUCAGCGAGAUGCCCCUUCCCAGGGCAAGUGAGGAGGAGGCGCACAACCCCGUCCAGGCCGGCUGGGAGCCCAGAAGUCCCCGAGAUGGGAUUACCCCACAACCCAGCAUUUUCCCUCCAGGUACACAUCAAAGAGGAAGAAGACACUUGUCAUAGUGGAUGGUCACAGUAUCACCAGCAGGUGGAAACAGCUCAAAACAGGCUCAACCACAGAGAGGAGCGAGGUUGAGACCCCGGCCAGGGCAGCGGGGGGUGGCACACCCUGAGGAUGUCCCGCCCAGUGAGGGACGCCAGACACAGAAGGCUUCACAGCGUGUGGUCCAUUUCUAUGAAAUGUCCAGGACAGGUGGAUCCAGAGACAGAAGGGAUCAUGAGUGCCGGGGCCUGGGGGAGGGGAAGGGGAAUCACGGCUGACAGGGACCAGGCUGGUCGCUUUCUCGGGCGAUGAGAACGCUCUGGAAUUGGACUGCGGUGGUGGUUGUACAACUUUAUUCAUCAACCACAAACAUUUUAAACAGAUGGUACGGUGUGUGAAAAUAUCGAAAUAAAGCUAUUAGAAUAAGUAGGCCCAGUGGUCCCAGCUACUAGGGAGGCUGAGGUGGUCGGAUCGCUUGAACCCAGGAGGUAGAGGCUGCAGUGAGCCAAGAUGGCUGCAACAGAGUGAGGCAGCGUCUCCAAAAGAAGAAAGGGCCAGGCGCGGUGGCUCACACCUGUAAUCCCAGCAUUUUGGGAAGCCAAGGUGGGCGGAUCCCUUGAGGUUAAGAGUUCGAGACCAGCCUGGCCAACAUGGUAAAACCCCGUCUCUACUGAAAAUACAAAAAUUAGCUAGACAUAGUGACACAUGCCUGUAGUCCCAGCUACUCAGGAGGCUGAGGCAGGAGAAUCGCCUGAACCCGGAAAGCAGAGGAUGCAGUGAGCUGAGACUGCACCAUUGCACUCCAGCCUGAGUGACAGAGCAAGACUCUGCCACCAAAAAAAAAAAAGAGAGAGAGAGAAACAGAAAAAAGAGAGAGAGAAAAAGAAAGAAAAAAAUGAAAGAAAGAAGCCAGAGGCGAGCCAACACCCACCACCCACAGUGCUCAGGAGCAGGGACGGCCCUGCCACAGUGGCUGUGGCUGUUUCCCACAGGCACAGGUUUCUUGGGGGUGUGUUUAGGGUGUCAGGACUUAGAUGCCCCACUUAACUACCUGAACCCCUGGUUUUUGCUGAUGUCGGGUUUAUCAGGGCUCCUCUGGGCUGAGGGUCUGCAGGCAUCCGCCCGCCAGCUGACUGGGAGCCCAGGGCCACUCCAUGGCCUGCGUGGCUCUCUGGGCCUGGCGUGGUGGGCUCAGGGCGCAGGCCCUCCCUGCAUGGCUGGCUCCCAAGGCUAUCGCCACCCAGUCCACCUGGAGCAGCUGCGCUGGCCCCCACUCAGGACAGGACGUGCGUCAGCUGUGCCACCACCCAGACUGCUCUCUCUCCUGCAGGUGCAUCCACCGGGAUGGGCAGCCCUGGAAGGACCUGAGAAAGAAGCCGUCUCCCUCUGAGGAACCAGGCUUGCCAGCCCCAGCCCCAUAUCUCUCCCGGACAAGCGCGGAGCCCCACGUGCGCUCAGAGGCCCUGCCGCUGUGGUCCUGACGUGCCGAGCUCAGCCCCUGCUCAUCACCUGGUUUCCUAUCCUGCUCCGUCACCUGCACUGCCGCUCGCAACAGCCCGACCUGGCCACAUGGUGCUGUUGGGAGCCAGUUCCCGAGAACCCAGCCAUGUGGAGCCACUCCAGGGUGCCGGCCGGAAGUCACCGUCACAGUGUCUGGCACAACCGCAGACACACACAGAGCAGGCGGCAGCCAGAGACAGACACCACACAGCCUGGGAGGACUCAGGCUGUCGUCUGAAGAUUGUGGCCAGGGCUACUCAGGAGGCCCGGGAGGGCCAGGCCACUGCAGGGGCUUGAGCACAGUGGCACGAUCUCAGCUCACUGCAACCUCUGCCUCCUGGAUCCAAGCAAUUCUCCUGUCUUAGCCUCCGGAGUAGCUGGGAUUACAGGUGCCCGCCACCACGGCAGCUAAUUUUUUGCAUUUUUAAGAGAGGGGUUUCACCAUGUUGGCCAGGAUGGUCUGGAACUCCUGACCUCAAGUGAUCCACCCACCCCGGCCUCUCAAAGUGCUGGGAUUACAGGCGUGAGCCACCGCACCUGGCCGUCACCGCCUUUCAUGGGGACAACUGCCACCACCACCAGAGCCCCCUACUGCAAGAGGGGAAUCUCUGCUCAGGGCGCCCUCACAACGAGCCACCAGGAGAGUGGCCAGGUACCAGCCACUCUGCACAUGCACCCACUGGAUGCCACGGGAGGAGAUUGCAUCACCAAACACGCCUGGCAGGUAAAAGACUGAGGCCAAGGCCGCACAGAUCAGAUUGGCCCAGCCGCUCAGGGCCUCAGCCUGAUCCCAGAGCCCAGAAUGGCAAUGGAGGCCUGCAGCAGCCCAGCUGCCUGGGAGAAGCCACCACACACAGGCAUUCAGCCCCGGCAGGCCUCCGCGUCAGAGGCCCGUAGGGGAUUCCUGACACCAGCCUAGGUGUUUCAGCAGCAGUGGCGCCACCUCAGACUCAGCCUCGGGGCAAGCUCACCACCGGCAGAGACGCCCAUUUCGAGGGUGCUGGUGGUGGCUGGGGACUUUCCCCAUCACCAGAUUUGGAGCAGCCUUCCUGCCCCAGAACAGGGACAGAGUCUUGCCCUGUACAAUGAAGUCCUGACACCGCCACACUGUCUACUGGCACCAUGUUACGUCCUGCUCCAAAGGCACGAGCAGGUGCCCUCGGGAUCACUGCAGGGUGAAGACAGGCACUCCCCUCACCCACACACCCGCUCCCUGCACUUGUUUACCAACGUUCAUGACCAAAUAUUUGUCAGCCGCGGUUCAAUGCUGGCUCCCCGGCCAGCCUAUAAAUUCCGUGAGAGCCAAGACCAGGACUACCAGACACCACUGAGUUUCCAUGACUAAAAGAAGGUCCUCCCCAGGCCCAGUGACAAUCGGAAGAGGUCAGGGUCCUCCUUGUCCGAGGCCACAGGGCCAGGAAGUGGCUCCACCACACCAGGAUCCAGCCCUGUGCAGGCUCCCAGAGCAGCCAAGUAUCAACAGGUCAGGGCUAGCCACCUCCAACAGCCACAACUCCAGGCUUCCCAGGACCUGUCCCAGGGCUCACACAGCUGUCAGGGGCUGCCCUACAACUCACCCUGGCAGGCAGUCUGUCAGCCAACCAACCCCUUCUGCCACGGCCAGGGGGCACAGGAAACAGGAAGGGGCAGGAGUGAGAACCCUGAGAGGCACAGCAGCAAGACAAGGCUCAGCCUCAGCUCCCUAAUCUUCGCCCCACACCCAGGAUUUUACUUGAUUUGUUCCUCCUGCUGGGGAGGGGAAGCCCUGUGGCUUCAGCAGAGAGGAAGCCACACCUCUCUACUCUCUCCACUCCUGGCCUGUGUCACUGCUCUCCCGUCAUGCCCCAACUCUAGCACUGGUUCCUCCUCCGUGACCAAGAAAGCUGCUUCUCCUGACUCCCUCCAGCCCCUUCCGGGGUCUCUGCUCCCAAGGAACGCUACUGCUUCUGGAGGGCUUGGGCGCCUCUAAUGGGUCAAACCGUAGCAACAGCCGGGUGGUAAUGCACAGAGAGAGCACAGAAAAUCCUCAACGCCUGCAGCCUCUUCCCGUGGGCACAGGGUAGGGAGUCCAGACACCGCUCCACCUCUUGCACCUGCUCCCCUCAAGUUGGCAGCUCCCGACUGAGCAGGCUCUGCCUUUUCUGCUGAGCCACCACGGACCUCAGUUUCCCCAUCUGCAGGCGUGGCUCAAAGAAAUCACCACUUUCCACAUUAGCCUGAGAAAGGGAAACACUGGUCACAAAUGCAGACCACCGCCGGGCACGGUGGCUCACACCUGUAAUCCCAGCGCGUUGGGAGGCAGGGGGAUCACUUGAGCCCAGGAGUUCAAGACCAGCCUGGGCCACACAGUGAGACCCUGUCCCUAAAAAUAGUAAUAGGAACGCCAACUGCCGAGCCCGUUCCAGACCCGCUGACUCCGAAACCCCGGAGAAGGGGCCUGGAAAUAGCACGUUCCACGAGCACCGCUCCCACCUGCCCCCAAGGUGACAUCAGGUCCGCGUGGGAAACAUCGCCCUAAAUAAGCAGGAAGUAACACUCGGAACACCCAGGCCCGGGGUCCCCUUGAGCCAAGGGUGGCUGUAAACACUUCGAGAAAGGGUGGGCUGCUCAACCCAGCCCCGGGAAGGGAAGAACGCAGGCUCGGGUCACAAAGCCCUGCCGGAGGGCCGCGGUCGGAGCCCGGGACGGUGCCUGGAGCCUUCCGGGCCUGGGCCUGACUCCCAGGCGGCGGCCAGGGCCCCACGAGGCGAGCCUAGGGCGCCCCGGACUGCGCGCUCGGCGGGGGUCCCCUGGCGUUAUUCUCGGGGUCUGCGCCCCGCCAGGCCCGGCCCGUGGCCCGCACCGCGCCCCUGGGCAAUACCCUCUGCUCGCCGGGCCUCACUUUCUCCGUUUUACAGAACCAGGCUCACGGGGUUCGGAGGAGCGUUCCCACCUGGGGUCCCCGCGGCCUCUCGGAUCGAGAAGGCAGAGGAUGUGGGGUCACCCGACCCAGCUGCGCCGCCCCGGCCAGGCCCCGCCUCCCCCCUUCCGGGCCUCAGUUUCCCGCAUGUGCAGGACGGGGUUCGCGCCCGCACCGCCCGGGCUCCCCGCGGAUCCACCCUGGGCCGGCGCUGUCCCCACCCUCAGUUUCCCCGUCGUGGCCACCUCGCGCGAGGAGCGGGCACCGGCGACCUCCACCCCGGCCCGGGCCUUGCCUCAGGCCUGCGGCACAGACCCUACCGCCCGCCGCCCCGGCCCGGGCCUCACCGGCAG